UGGAUGAUUGUGGUUUAAUUCGAUGCAACGCGAAAACCUUACCCACCUUUGACAUGUACGGAACCCUUUAGAGAUAGAGGGUGCUCGAAAGAGAGCCGUAACACAGGUGCUGCAUGGCUGUCGUCAGCUCGUGUCGUGAGAUGUUGGGUUAAGUCCCGCAACGAGCGCAACCCUUGUCAUUAGUUGCUACAUUCAGUUUGGGCACUCUAAUGAGACUGCCGGUGACAAGCCGGAGGAAGUGGGGAUGACGUCAAGUCCUCAUGGCCCUUAUAGGUGGGGCUACACACGUCAUACAAUGGCUGGUACAAAGGGUUGCCAACCCGCGAGGGGGAGCCAAUCCCAUAAAGCCAGUCGUAGUCCGGAUCGUAGUCUGCAACUCGACUACGUGAAGUCGGAAUCGCUAGUAAUCGUGGAUCAGAAUGUCACGGUGAAUACGUUCCCGGGUCUU
rnacentral:rRNA from 1 species